UAUAUAUAUAAAUUUUUAAUACUGGCUUUGCGUACUCAAUAAUGGUUUGAGUAAAAAUUAAAAACAAUAUGGUUUUAUUAUCAUCGGUACUUUUUUUACCAAAUGGUACUCAAGCACUCAACGUGAUUCAGGUUUUCCUCUUUCAUAGUUGGCUUUUCAAGCAAUAAUUUGAAACAAUUGAAUGAUCUUAUAUACACCACCAAAAACUGCUGCAUCAACAACAACAACUGCAGCACAACAGAUUUAUCAUACAACCUAUGCAUAUAGAAGAAAAUUGUUAUGUUUUGUAAAUUUGCUAAAAAUAUUUUUUUUUUAUUUUGUAAAUAAUUUAUAAAUUGUAAUUAUAAAUAAUUUGUUAUAAAGAUAUAUGAUUUGUAAA